rnacentral:lncRNA from 1 species
UUGAGUUGAUAAAUAGGUCAGAGAAUUCUUUCCUUUCUGUUUCUUUCCUACAGAAACAAAGAGUCAUCCCCUCUGGAAAAGGAACCUCUAGGUUAUCAGGAUGCAAAGUAUCCAAGCCCGAAAGAGGCUCUCUCUGAAGGUCUCCUUUCUUCCUUGAGCCUCAGCCAGGAGGUCGAAAGGGAUGAGGAGCAGGAAGUGGUUUUAGCAACAAAAGAGAACACACCCUGAUCCUUGACUGGUGGAAGAGGACCCGAAAGAAGCUGCUUUAGGGGAAGCCAUCUGCUCGGAGAAAUCAUUCAGGGUGAGAAUCAAGGAAGGCAUUCAAGAAUUAUUCCAUGUCUUAAGAAAAGCAUCUGCAAUAAACUGUAUUUAAUUUUUGAGCUCAGUGUCUAGUGUGAUAAUUAAGAAAUGACAAUACCAUGUAUUGACAGUAAUCGCAAAUGUAUUUUUUCCAGAAGUUAAGAAAUAUUGUGUGAAACGUCCAAAUAAUGCAGGCAUACCUCAGAGGUAUUAUGGGCUCGGUUCCAGACUUGGAAUAAAGCAAGUCACAUGAAUUUUUAGUUUCCCAAUGCAUAUGAAAGUUAUGUUUACCUGAUACUGUAGUCUAUUAAGUGUGCAAAAGCAUUAUGUCUAAAAAUACAAUGUAUAUACCUUAAUUAAAAUGUGACAUAGAGACACGAAGUGAGCACUUGCUAUUGAUAAAGGCACAGAUAGACGAGGCGGGGUUGCCACAAAUAUACAAUUUGUAAAAACUGCAA